GAAGCCGCGCCAUGGGAGCACCGGAGGAAGGGGCGGCGCUGUGCUUUGGAAUCGGAGCUGUCGCCGGCGUGAUUUGGGGAUUACUGUGUGGUCAGGAUACAGAGGAGAUGAGAGGAUAACGCGAGGAGGAGGGAGCUGAGCGUGUGAGCGUUAUUUUAGUGGACGGAGCUGAGCAUGCGAGCGUUAUUUUAGUCGCGUAGCAUCCCGCAUUGGAGAGAACGGGUGCCAGGCCAGGUGCUACGCCUACGUCAAACCAACUGAGGCACCUCUGAUUACCACCUCCCCAUUGCGAGACCACCUUUAUUAGCGACGCAAUGCUAGUCUUUUUUCCUUAAGCACCUGGCAUAAGCACCUGCCGUUGUACAGGGCCUAAGCGUCAUCAAGACAUAAAUGGAACUGGAGGAGUUUUGUUCGAGAUGCCAUCGUCGGAGCGACACCAAAAACUACUGCACACAGGAUUUUGCCAGAAAAGAGACCACCCUUCCACCGGUCCCAUGGCGCCGUAGCGACCACCAACCCCUCGUCCGCGCCCCGCCGGGCCGGCGAAGCCAGCACCACAGCAGGCCCACUCCCGCCCGCGUCUCGUCCGCCUGACCGCCUCCCUUCACGACGGCAGAGACAGAGCAACCCCCAGCACGGAAUGGAGCCCGCGCCGCGCCGCCGUGGCGCACUUCGCCGAUCUCCCUGAGCGGCGAGCCCCGUCGAUUUCCAUUCGCGUCACACCGCGCCAUUACCCCCAUCUAAUUUCCCCCUCGUUUGAUUUUACAGCUUCCAGCACCGGAGAUCAAGAAGGUCGCUCGACUCCGGCAGAUACUGCCGCUCCCGCGUCCAGCGUGCUCAGGAUAAGAAGUGCACAUAAACCCAGAGCAGAAACACCUGCACCAGUUGCAACUCCAAUAACAAUCUCCUUUCUGUUGUUUUUCACUACGUGGAAAUCUUUAGCAGAAACACGAAAGUGAAGAGUUUCUCCAGUUGAACUUGAAGUGCCACUACAUUCUAGCCCUCUUAUAUUGAGCAAUUCAUUAUGCCAGAUAGAGCAUCUUUCAUUGUUGAAGGAAUAUGCGGUGCAAGAGCAAUUACUGAGGCAAACUUGUGCACACUCACUCGUGCUUGCAGCAGCUUCUAGUUUUGAGGCAUUGUUGGGCAACUCAACACAUUGCACAGAGUAGAACUUGUCUGUUGUAUGAGUUGUGCUUUUGUUGCUAAUGCAGUCUAACGGAGUAUUUCUUGAGCACCCACCAGUUCGAUCUUCUAGCUCCCAAUCCUUGGGGGAUGUUAUGGUGAAGCCCUCCAUGCAAUUGCAAUGUGGAAGCGCGUUAUCAUUGCAAAUUGUGAAAGGUCCACAGAUUGCAUAGACAUCACACUGAAGUUUCGGUUGGGCAUAGAUCAUUAUCCAGUCCUGUGAGCCCUCCAACCAAAUGAACGUUUUUCUUUGACCUGAGACGUCAAUUACACCACGAGUAACCAUAGAUUUAUCGACUAUGUUAUCAAUAAAAUACUUCUCUUGGUCAUUGGUGACAAAUGUACUGGUGAAAACUGGGUUGUUGUUUGACAUCUCUGGUAUUGAGGCAAAGUAUUUGCCAUUCCAUACACCGGUCGACCAAUAUGGUAUGGAGGAGUUCAAUGGUGUAAGCAAGAACUGAUUGAGACCACUCGGGUCUAACCCAUCACAGUACAUACCAGUACUUGGGUCGUUCAAGUUCUUCCAAGAAACUAGACGGCGGUUUAGGCCAGUGAGCUUGUCCCAUCCAAGCUUUGCACCAGGGAAAACUGUAUCUGUGGGGUGAUCAAAGCUCUGCCACAGAACCUCUGAUGAGUUUGAAGAGUCUGUUAGGAUCAGAUUUCCACUACUCAAGAGCAUAGCAGUGGUGCUAUUUCUUGUGAUGUUUGCUUGUGUACUCCAGAUUAUGGACCUGGUAAACCGGUUUAAGAUGACAAGGUUGCCAUCGUGGGAGAUUGUGAGCUCCGGUGAGGUGGUGUUCUUGAUUGGUGUAUCCCUAUUUGCGACCCAUGCAGAAGUAAAUUUGGGGACUGUAUUGAACCAUAUGCCAAGGUACCAGUUGGUGGUGUCUUGGCAGGGUUUGCUGCUGCUUGUGUUGAAGAAGCCAAGCGCGUACCUGCCAUUUUUGGAGACGAGCUUGUCGUUGACAGUAAGUGCUUGACCGGCCAAGAUGGUGUCUGUUGCGGCAGAAUUUGCUUGGGUGCACAGGAAGAGGAGCAAGGUGAAAUCUAUGAGGAGAUGCAUGAUGAACUGAAGAGGAUGGCAAACCGGAGGAUGCAGAUACUACAGAUGUAAGUGCUCAAGCCUCAAUUGUCUGGUCAUAGCAGUAAAAGGCACGGUGGAGCCAAAAGUCAAGAGUUCAUGACAACCAUACAAACCGGUGGAAAACUGUGUAGCAUCAACAGUCUUAUUCUGGACUCCUUUUUACUUUGACAGCAAUGAAAAACUUGCUUAGACUGGGUUGCCUGGUGGAGACUGGAGAGUGGAGAUGACUGGGCUGAACAAAGAAAAAUGCGUGGGCUUGACCGUAUGAGAUAAAAGUAUUCGCUAUCACAACAUGACAGGUAUGUGGACACUUCAGGCGCUGGCUUGAUCUUAAGGUGCCAUAUUUUGAAGGAAAACUAAACGGCAGUUAAUACAAAUCAUGUUAAGUUUUUGUUGGUAUUAUACACUGCUGUAAAGUGUUCUUUUGAUCAGACUGUUGGUAUUCUUUUAUGUAUUUAUAAGAGGGCAACAACCAUGGGACGGCAGGAGUACUUCUCAUGGGGCUACAACUCUGUAGCUGAUCUGAUUGCUUUUACUUCUGUAUAUGCACUUCACUAUGUAAUCUCACGAACUUCUGUUAUUUCCUUCCCUGUAUUGACUACAGCUCGACCCUUGAUGAUCUAAAAAGAAAGCCUUGUACCUAUUGUCA